rnacentral:rRNA from 1 species
AUGCCGACCGGCCGGCUGUCCUCCAUCUUCACCAGCAAUGCAACCUCCUCCUUCAGGGCUCCUUCGCCACAGCCACGAGCCCCCCUCGCCGCCUUGGCUGCCACCACAGAGCGCGUGUGUGCCGGAACGCUAAGACCGGAGGAGGCGCACCACCUGUUCGACGAAUUGCUGAGCCAAGCCGCCGCCGUCCCGGAACGCGGGCUGAACAACUUUCUUGCCGCACUAGCCCGUGCUCCACCCUCAGCUGCCUGCAGCGAUGGCCCCGGCCUUGCCAUCACCCUCUUCAACCGCAUGUCCCGAGGCGCUGGUGCACAGGUGGUGUCGCCCACGCUCUGUACCUAUUCCAUUCUCAUGGACUGCUGCUGCCGUGCAGGCCGCCCGGACUUGGUGGUUGCCUUCUUUGGCCGCCUCCUCAGAUUGGGGCUGCGCUUGAAUGUCAUCUCCUUCAACAACCUCCUCAAGGGGCUCUGCCAGGUCAAGCGUACAAAUGAGGCUGUGGACUUGUUGCUCCACCGGACACCUGAACUGGACUGUGUGCCUAAUGUCUUCUCGUACAGCAUCGUAAUCAACGGCUGUUUUAAAGAAGGUGAAGUAGACAAAGCGUGCAAUCUCUUCCAUGAGAUGCCCCAACUGGGAGUUCAACCUAAUGUGGUCAUCUACACCUCAAUUAUCGAUGCACUAAGCAAGUGCGGAGCCAUGGACAAGGCAGAAGUGGUCCUUCAGCAAAUGGUUGAUCAAGGCAUUGAACCCAACAUCAGGACAUAUACUAGCCUGAUACAUGGAUAUUCCGCUUCGGGUCAGUGGAAGGCGGCAGCUAGAGUAUUCAAGGAAAUGGUAAGUGUUGGUGUUCUACCAAAUGCUGUCACUUUGAACUCAUUUAUGGAUUCACUUUGCAAGCAUAGAAGGACAAAGGAUGCUAGAGAUAUUUUUGACUCCAUGGCUGCAAAGGGCCAAAAACCUGACAUUUUCUCCUACUCUAUUAUGCUAAAUGGGUAUGCUAAAGAAGGAUACUUCGAGGAUAUGACUGAUCUCUUCAAUUUGAUGGUACUGAAUGGUAUUGUACCUAACCACCAUAUUUUCAACAUACUGAUCAAUGCAUAUGCUAAACGUGGACUGAUGGAUGAGGCUAUGCACAUGUUCGAAGUAAUGAGGCAACAAGGAGUAAACCCAAAUGUAGUUGACUAUGUAGUAGUAAUGGAUUCACUUUGCAAAAUGGGUAGGAUGGAUGCUGCUCUGGACAAAUUUACUCAGAUGGUCAAUCAAGGAGUUUCACCUAACAAAGCUGUUUACCAAUGCCUGGUUCUGGGUUCUUGCUCUCAUGGUCAUUUUGUGAAAGCCAAGGAAUUGAUCUCUGAAGCAAUUAAUAGAGGUCUGUUUUCUAACAGUGUGUUCUUCUAUCCUGUAAUAAACGACCUAUGCAAAGAAGGAAAGGUGAAGGAGGCACAGGAUAUGUUUGACUUCAUUCUAGGUAUUGGUCGGCGGCCUGAUGUGAUUAUGUACAAUUCACUGAUGGAUGGAUAU